rnacentral:rRNA from 1 species
CCGGCGAGGGGAGUGAAAAAGAACCUGAAACCGUGUACGUACAAGCAGUGGGAGCACAGGUUUACCUGUGUGACUGCGUACCUUUUGUAUAAUGGGUCAGCGACUUAUAUUCUGUAGCAAGGUUAACCGUAUAGGGGAGCCGUAGGGAAACCGAGUCUUAACCGGGCGUUAAGUUGCAGGGUAUAGACCCGAAACCCGGUGAUCUAGCCAUGGGCAGGUUGAAGGUUGGGUAACACUAACUGGAGGACCGAACCGACUAAUGUUGAAAAAUUAGCGGAUGACCUGUGGCUGGGGGUGAAAGGCCAAUCAAACCGGGAGAUAGCUGGUUCUCCCCGAAAGCUAUUUAGGUAGCGCCUCGUGAAUUCAUCUCCGGGGGUAGAGCACUGUUUCGGCUAGGGGGCCAUCCCGGCUUACCAACCCGAUGCAAACUGCGAAUACCGGAGAAUGUUAUCACGGGAGACACACGGCGGGUGCUAACGUCCGUCGUGAAGAGGGAAACAACCCAGACCGCCAGCUAAGGUCCCAAAGUCAUGGUUAAGUGGGAAACGAUGUGGGAAGGCCCAGACAGCCAGGAUGUUGGCUUAGAAGCAGCCAUCAUUUAAAGAAAGCGUAAUAGCUCACUGGUCGAGUCGGCCUGCGCGGAAGAUGUAACGGGGCUAAACCAUGCACCGAAGCUGCGGCAGCGAACGUAUCACCCAAGACAACUUUACGGAGUUGACGAUUGACGGAGCGAAGCGACGUCAAAGCGUUCAUUAAAGUCGAGUUGGCUUAGGGAUACGUUCGUUGGGUAGGGGAGCGUUCUGUAAGCCUGUGAAGGUGUGUCGUGAGGCAUGCUGGAGGUAUCAGAAGUGCGAAUGCUGACAUAAGUAACGAUAAAGCGGGUGAA